GACGUGGAAGACUAGUGUUAUUCAUCUUUAAUAGGUUUAAAGGGUACCUAGACGGUAUUUCUAGCCUGAAAAGGUACGGAUUUACUAGAGUUUUAUGUAAGAAGGGGAAUAUUUUAGGAGUAGAGAUGAAAUUCUUUAAUACCUUAAGGACUGGUAAGGGCGAAAGCAACCUUCUAUUUAAAAACUGACGUUGAGGGACGAAGGCCUGGGUAGCAAGAAGG
rnacentral:rRNA from 1 species